AGAGUCAUACAACAAAGAAAUAGCCAGUCAUGUUGGCCCCGAGUCAUGUGAGCGUAGCCGUAAGGGUGCGCUUGAAGCGUUGACAGGGGGAAAUGCAGGCCGGGCAAUAGAACCGCGAAAUCGACGCAAUACUCCGGGAGGCCGACGUUGUCAGAGGAUGCGGAAGGCCAUACGAGAGGGCACGUUAACGAACGGGCAAGGUGCCACUCGCUCCCGCGCGGUCGGAGAACC
rfam:Tncultured bacterium genome assembly, contig: contig_40